rnacentral:rRNA from 1 species
UUUUCCGGUUGAUCCUGCCGGACCCCACUGCUAUCGAGGUGGGACUAAUCCAUGCUAGUCGAACGACCCCGGACUAUGGCGGGGAAGUGGCACACUGCUCAGUAACACGUAGCUAACCUAACCUCGGGACGGGCAUAAUCCCGGGAAACUGGGGCUAAUUCCCGAUAGGCGUGGACUCCUGGAAUGGUUUCACGCCCAAAGGUUGGCGCACCCAUGUCGUGCGCACACGCCCGAGGAUGGGGCUGCGGUCGAUCAGGCAGUUGGUGAGGUAACGGCUCACCAAACCUUUGACCGGUACGGGCCAUGAGAGUGGUAGCCCGGAGAUGGGCACUGAGACAAGGGCCCAGGCCCUACGGGGCGCAGCAGGGGCGAAACCUCCACAAUGCACGCAAGUGCGAUGGGGUUACCUCGAGUGCCGUCUGAAGAAGGCGGCUUUUCCACGGUGUAAUGAGCCGUGGGAAUAAGAGGGGGGCAAGACUGGUGUCAGCCGCCGCGGUAACACCAGCCCCUCGAGUGGUGGGGAUGUUUAUUUGGCCUAAAGCGUCCGUAGCCGGCUCGGUAAAUCUCUCGUUAAAUCCAACGUCCUAAGCGUUGGGCUGCGAGGGAGACUGCCGAGCUAGAGGGUGGGAAAGGUCAGCGGUAUUUCUGGGGUAGGGGCGAAAUCCAUUGAUCCCAGGAGGACCACCAGUGGCGAAGGCUGCUGACUAGAACACGCCUGACGGUGAGGGACGAAAGCUGGGGUAGCGAAUCGGAUUAGAUACCCGAGUAGUCCCAGCCGUAAACGAUGCAGGCUAGGUGUUGGGCCGGCCACGCGCCGGCUCAGUGCCACAGGGAAGCCAUUAAGCCUGCCGCCUGGGGAGUACGGCCGCAAGGCUGAAACUUAAGGGAAUUGGCGGGAGAGCACCACCAGGCGUGAAGCCUGCGGUUUAAUUGGAGUCAACGCCGGGA